AUUGAACGCUGGCGGCAUGCCUUACACAUGCAAGUCGAACGGCAGCACGGAGCUUGCUCUGGUGGCGAGUGGCGAACGGGUGAGUAAUAUAUCGGAACGUACCCUGGAGUGGGGGAUAACGUAGCGAAAGUUACGCUAAUACCGCAUACGAUCUACGGAUGAAGGUGGGGGAUCGCAAGACCUCAUGCUCGUGGAGCGGCCGAUAUCUGAUUAGCUAGUUGGUAGGGUAAAAGCCUACCAAGGCAUCGAUCAGUAGCUGGUCUGAGAGGACGACCAGCCACACUGGAACUGAGACACGGUCCAGACUCCUACGGGAGGCAGCAGUGGGGAAUUUUGGACAAUGGGCGAAAGCCUGAUCCAGCAAUGCCGCGUGAGUGAAGAAGGCCUUCGGGUUGUAAAGCUCUUUUGUCAGGGAAGAAACGGUGAGGGCUAAUAUCUCUUGCUAAUGACGGUACCUGAAGAAUAAGCACCGGCUAA
rnacentral:rRNA from 1 species